rnacentral:misc_RNA from 1 species
CCAUCCAACCCAUCCCCCCAUCUCUCGCGCGCAGAGCAUCAACAACUGUAUGCACAGCACAGAAACGCAUACACACAUACAUGCACUAAGGCAUGCACGCACCUUUAAUCCUGCGCAAUUCUCAUCGUUGCUCUUCAGCUGAACCCUCCUUCCCCCGCCCCAGCCAGCUGUCCUCUCCUUGUACGUGUGUGGUGUGGUGUGGUGGUGUGUGUGUGUGUGUGUGUGAGGGGCCGAGCGGAGGACUUCGUUGGUGUAUAUGUUGCUUGUUGCUGCCUCAUCCAUUUUCUCGUUGUGUUUCUCCUCUUCACCGCCACCCACCGCCCACCGUCUUCUGCAGCGUCACGAAUUCGAGGAGCGAAGCACCGCUCCGAAAGGAGGCGACGUAAGCGGAGGAAGAGGCAGCGAGAGCUUCUUGAGAGACGCAUACGCGUGUCUGCGUGCGUGCGGGCAUUUAUCCACGUGACGGCUCCGGUCUCAUCCCUCCUGCUGCGUGGCUCUACUUUUCAGGCGCGCAGCACAAGCGACGCCCAUUGUGGAACGACGAAAGAAAAACGAUACAUUCACACAGCUGUAUAUAUAAAGGCGGUAGGGACUACACUAAAGGCGCAGGCCCGCCUUGUCUCUCCGUCCAUCCACCACCUCAGCGAAGCACAUGCUUGUCCAUGGUAGUAGGCUUUAGCCUUGCCCCUCGUCCUUGUUGUGGCCAACGCAUGCACGCACGCGCACAGGCACGUCACGAUAAGCGUGUGUGUUUGUGUGUGCAUCCACCCUCUCUAUCCCGUCUUUGCAUCUUCUUCAUCUCUUCCUGCUUCUGUCUUGCCGUCUGCAG